UGAAUAUUACUUUAUAAGGUAGCGCGUUUGACUGGCAGUCAAAAGGUCACGGGUUCGAAUCCCGUAUUCUCCA
rnacentral:tRNA from 1 species